rnacentral:lncRNA from 1 species
UAGAACAGAAUAGAAUAUAGAACAGAAAAUAGAAUAGAAUAGAAUAUAGAACAGAAUAGAAUAUAGAACAGAAUAGAAUAUAGAACAGAAUAUAGAACAGAAUAGAAUAUAAUACAGAACAGAACUGAAUAUAGAACAGAAUAGAAUAGAAUAGAAUAUAGAGCAGAAUAGAAUAUAGAACAGAAUAUAAUAUAAAUGUAACGCCCUGGCCAUAGAGAGGGGUUUUUGUUCUUUAUUUUGGUUAGGCCAGGGUUUUACAUUGGGUGGGCGUUCUAUGUUCUUUUUCUAGGUUUUUGUAUUUCUUUGUUUUGGGCUGUGUGUGGCUCCCAAUCAGGCACAGCUGAAGUUCGUUGUUGUUGAUUGGGAGUCACACAUAAGGAGCAGGUGUUUCCUUUGGGUUUUGUGGGGGAUUGUUUCUGUUUAGUGUUUUGCACCUGACAGGACUGUUUGGCUGUCGGUUUCCUUGUUUUGGUUUUGUAUAGUGUUCUUGCCGUAAUUAAAUACAAAGAUGAACACUAACUCCGCUGCGUAUUGGUCCACUUUCUCAGACGAUGACUUCUCUGUUUUGUCUGAGGACGAAGACAGCCGUUACAAUAAAACAGAACAGAAUAUAGAACAGAAUAGAAUAGAAUAUAGAACAGAAUAGAAUAUAGAACAGAAUAGAAUAUAGAAUAGAAUAUAGACCAGAAUAGAGUAUAGAACAGAACAGAAUAGAAUAUAGAACAGAAUAGAAUAUAGAACAGAACAGAAUAUAGAACAGAACAUAAUAGAAUAGAAUAUAGAACAGAAUUGAAUUUAGAAAAGAACAGAAUAUAAUAUAGAACUGAAUAGAAUAGAGCAGAAUAGAAUAUAGAACUGAAUAGAAUAGAAUAUAGAACAGAAUAGAAUAUAAAACAGAAUAUAGAAUAGAAUAGAAUAUAGAACAGAACAGAAUAUAGAACAGAACAGAAUAGAAUAUAGAACAGAAUACAAUAUAGAAAAGAAUAGAAUAUAGAACAGAAUUGAAUAUAGAACAGAAUUGAAUAUAGAACAGAACAGAAUAGAAUAGAAUAUAGAACAGAAUAUAGACCGUAAUAGAAUGAUGGGUCAGUACUGAGAAUAGCUAAGCAUACAUACCUGAAUUUAAAGGAUUUCUUUUGAUUCAUGUUAAGGCAGCUUACACGCUGGGAGGACUUUGAUUGGCUCAUGGUCACCAAUGCUGCUGUGAAUUUCUGUAUGUUGUUAGGACCAAAGGUUUCUACGAGGACAGAAAACAGCUAGCUACUUGAAGGAGGAUUGGCGGAGUAACAUUGAAAAGUGCUUUGAUAAUCUGGAAAAAGACUAUAUAAAUCCAAUCAAUUAUUAUUUUUAUUACUUAUGAAUGCCGUACAUGUUGAGAUGACACAUUCAACAAUAAAGGGAAAGAUGUGAUUGAUUGAUGGGUUGGUUGACUGAUCGGCAGAUAGAUUGAUAGAUAGAUGGAUCGUCUGAUUGAUUAACCCCCCCAAAAAGUGUCACAUACACUGGAUAGCUGCAGUGUAAUGUGUUGUUUUACAGGGUCAGCAAUAGUAGUAUGAUAAGUGUUGUUUUACAGGGUCAGCCAUAGUAGUAUGAUAGGUGCAGUGUAAUGUGUUGUUUUACAGGGUCAGUCAUAGUAGUAUGAUAGGUGUUGUUUUACAGGGUCAGCCAUAGUAGUAUGAUAGGUGUUGUUUUACAGGGUCAGCCAUAGUAGUAUGAUAGGUGUUGUUGUACAGGGUCAGCCAUAGUAGUAUGAUAGGUGUUGUUGUACAGGGUCAGCCAUAGUAGUAUGUUAGGUGUUGUUUUACAGGGUCAGCCAUAGUAAUAUGAUAGGUGUUGUUUUACAGGGUCAGUCAUAGUAGUAUGAUAGGUGUUGUUUUACAGGGUCAGUCGUAGUAGUAUGAUAGGUGCAGUGUAAUGUGUUGUUUUACAGGGUCAGCCAUAGUAGUACAGAACCCAUGGAGCAAAUUAAGUUUAAGUGCCUUGCUCAAGGGCACAUCAGCAGAUGUUUCACCUUGUCGGCUCAGGUAUUUGAACCAGCCACCUUUCGGUUACUGGCCCAUUGAUCUAAACGCUUG